rnacentral:rRNA from 1 species
AAUAGAUACCCUGGUAGUCCCAGCUGUAAACGAUGCGCGUUAGGUGUAUCAGUGACCACGAGUCACUGAGGUGCCGAAGAGAAAUCGUGAAACGUGCCGCCUGGGAAGUACGGUCGCAAGGCUGAAACUUAAAGGAAUUGGCAGGGGGAGCACCACAACAGGUGGAGCCUGCGGUUUAAUCGGACUCAACGCCGGGAAACUCACCAGAUAAGACAGCUGAAUGAUUGUCGGGCUGAAGACUCUACAUGACUAGCUGAGAGGAGGUGCAUGGCCGUCGUCAGUUCGUACUGUGAAGCAUCCUGUUAAGUCAGGCAACGAGCGAGACCCACGCCAACAGUUGCUAGCUCGUCCUCCGGGAUGGAGAGGACACUGUUGGGACCGCCUCUGCUAAAGAGGAGGAAGGAAUGGGCAACGGUAGGUCAGCAUGCCCCGAAUUAUCUGGGCUACACGCGGGCUACAAUGGGUGGGACAAUGGGGUAUCGACACCGGAGAGGUGAAGGCAAUCUCCUAAACCCAGUUCCG